rnacentral:tRNA from 2 species
UCGGGAAGUAGCUCAGCUUGGUAGAGCACAUGGUUCGGGUCCAUGAGGUCGCAGGUUCAAAUCCUGUCUUCCCGAUC